rnacentral:rRNA from 1 species
UACGAAGGGGCUAGCGUUGUUCGGAAUUACUGGGCGUAAAGCGCGUGUAGGCGGGUCUUUAAGUCAGGGUGAAAUGCCAAGGCUCAACCUUGGAACUGCCUUUGAUACUGGAGAUCUUGAGUCGGGAGAGGUGAGUGGAAUUGCGAGUGUAGAGGUGAAAAUUCGUAGAUAUUCGCAAGAACACCAGUGGCGAAGGCGGACUCACUGGCCCGGACUGAACGCUG